GGGGGCGUUCCGGUUUCGACAGGUAUUCUUCGUGCAGGUGAUGCGUCAAGGAGGUUGCGACUCCUUAAUAACGCUACAGUUAAAUAUAACUGCAAACAAUACAAACAACAAUUUAGCUUUCGCAGCGUAAAAAACUGCUAGCUAAGAUCAGUCUAACUUCUCCCAUGAGUUAGUAACUGGUCUCAAAUGAAGUGGGAUACGUGUAUAUUCUCCGUCUGUGAAUGUACAAAGAGAUAAUCAGACUCGCUAAUACUGAUGCUUGUUUAUCGGCUAGGUUGCAGCUAACUCUAAAUAGAUAAACUAUUGACGUAGAUUCAUCUGAUACGUGAUAUUUGGACAGGAGUUCGAUUCUCCUCGCCUCCAUAA
rfam:Facklamia ignava CCTG 37419 genomic scaffold supercont1.2, whole genome shotgun sequence.